GAACUUUGUGCGACUUGGUACGAUUUUGCAAUUACUGCAGUUUAUAUACAGCACGAGAAACGAAUAAAUGGAAGGAAUGAAACAAAUGUUUGGAAGUUUGCCACUGUGAAGAAUGCUACUUACCUACGUUUAGACUUUUAUAUAAAAUGGAGUCUACAUAAUUGAACACCAUCUUUGAUAUCUAGAAAAACAGAAAAUGUUCCAGCUUAAACUGGACAGUUGGACAGUAAUAUAUUUUUUUACAUUAAGAAAUGUAAAAGUUGGACUGAACGUGGAAAAGUGGAACGUGCUGGCGAACUGUGCAAUUAAAUUGUGUGGCUGAACGUGCAGCGGGGACAUGGAAUGGCA